GAUAAACGCUGGCGGCGUGCAUGAGACAUGCAAGUCGAACGAACGACCUCGGGCUUGCCCGGGGAAGUUAGUGGCGGACGGCUGAGUAACGCGUGGGUGACCUGCCCAGAAGUGGGGAAUAACUGCCCGAAAGGGUGGCUAAUACCGCAUGUGGUCAUUAGUUCAUUCUUCUGACCAAAGCCUUCGGGCGCUUCUGGAGGGGCCUGCGUUCGAUUAGCUCGUUGGUGAGGUAAUGGCUCACCAAGGCGACGAUCGAUAGGUGGUCUGAGAGGAUGAUCACCCAGACUGGGACUGAGACACGGCCCAGACUCCUACGGGAGGCAGCAGCCGGGAAUUUUGCUCAAUGGGGGAAACCCUGAAGCAGCAACGCCGCGUGAGGGAUGAAGGCCUUCGGGUUGUAAACCUCUUUUCUCAGGGACGA
rnacentral:rRNA from 1 species